GGUGCUUUGCCAUAAAGUGAUGCCUAUGGGAUCAUUGCAUAUACAGAAUCAAAGCCAAGAUAGUUAUGUGAACAUUUGAUAUUGGCUUUAUUCCUUCAGCUUGACACGCAAAAUAAAACUUUAUCCUAUGAUACUUUGGGCCAGUUCUACAAAAAGAAAGCUGAAGGAUGUGAUAGGUGUAAAGGUUCCUUGAUCUUAGCCCUAAAAUCAUGGUCACACAACCAGUCCACAGGAGCAAAUCAUGGACACGAUUUAUCUCAGCUCUAAAAUCAUGGAUAUACAUAAGUCAAGGACACGACUACUGUAAAUUUGCUAUUAUACCUUGUAUAUUGAUUCACAAUUAAUAGGCUUCCUAGUAUAGCCUUUUUGGUUGAUGUAUAUAUACAUUGCAGCCCUCACUGUAAUCUGUGUGUAGAAGCCAAAUAAUUUUAAUACAUGAAAUAUAUUUUUACACCAC